UAAGCUUUAGUUCGGGUUCAGAUCGAACAUUGAUAUUUGUCACAAUAAUUUUAGUUUGUUUUUUUGUGUGGUAAUUUUAGUUUGUUUUUUUGUGUGGUAAUUUUAGUUUGUAUCAAGGUCCCUGUUUCAUCUUUGUAAUAUUUUCCUCUUUAUAAAAAGUUUGUGGGGAAUAUAUAUGUAAAUCUAAAACUAUAAAGUAAUAUGUGCAAAUAACUCGAAG
rnacentral:lncRNA from 1 species